CCUACGGGUGGCAGCAGUGAGGAAUAUUGGUCAAUGGGCGCGAGCCUGAACCAGCCAAGUAGCGUGAAGGAUGACUGCCCUACGGGUUGUAAACUUCUUUUGUAGAGGAAUAAAGUGAGGCACGUGUGCCUUUUUGUAUGUACUUUAUGAAUAAGGAUCGGCUAACUCCGUUCCAGCAGCCGCGGUAAUACGGAGGAUCCGAGCGUUAUCCGGAUUUAUUGGGUUUAAAGGGAGCGCAGAUGGGUUGUUAAGUCAGUUGUGAAAGUUUGCGGCUCAACCGUAAAAUUGCAAUUGAUACUGGCAGUCUUGAGUACAGGUGAGGUAGGCGGAAUUCGUGGUGUAGCGGUGAAAUGCUUAGAUAUCACGAAGAACUCCGAUUGCGAAGGCAGCUUACUAAGCUGACACUGACAUUGAUGCUCGAAAGUGUGGGGAUCAAACAGGAUUAGAUACCCCGGUAGUC
rnacentral:rRNA from 1 species